GUGCUCGCUUCAGCAGCACAUAUACUAAAAUUGGAAUGAUACAGAGAAGAUUAGCAUGGUCCCUGUGCAAGGAUGACAUGCAAAUUCAUGAAGCAUUCUAAAAAAAA
ensembl:snRNA U6 U6 spliceosomal RNA